rnacentral:rRNA from 1 species
AACGAACGCUGGCGGCAGGCUUAACACAUGCAAGUCGAGCGCAUCCUUCGGGGUGAGCGGCGGACGGGUGAGUAACGCGUGGGAACGUGCCCUCAUCUACGGAAUAGCCUCGGGAAACUGAGAGUAAUGCCGUAUACGCCCGCAAGGGGAAAGAUUUAUCGGAGGAGGAUCGGCCCGCGUUGGAUUAGGUAGUUGGUGGGGUAACGGCCUACCAAGCCGACGAUCCAUAGCUGGUUUGAGAGGAUGAUCGGCCACACUGGGACUGAGACACGGCCCAGACUCCGACGGGAGGCAGCAGGAGGGAAUCUUCGGCAAUGGACGAAAGUCUGACCGAGCAACGCCGCGUGAGUGAAGAAGGUUUUCGGAUCGUAAAACUCUGUUGUGAGAGAAGAACAAGGACGUUAGGAACUGAACGUCCCCUGACGGUAGCUAACCAGAAAGCAACGGCUAACUACGUG